ACACUCUAGAUCUAGUUAUUACAAAAGGUGUUAAUAUAUCAAAUGUGAAUGUUGUUGAUGUUGCUUUAUCUGAUCAUUUUUGUGUCUUUUUUGACUUGUCUGUUGCACCCAAACCAGUGGUUGGGCCUGGAGUUAUUCAAAGAAGACACAUAAAUGAUACAACAAGGACACAGUUUAUGGAAAUGAUCAGAUUUGAAAAUCCUCCAUGUUCAAAUGUUGAUAAUCUGUUGGACUCUUAUACAUCAAGCGUCUUAAAUGUUUUGGAUACUAUUGCUCCUGUCAAGGUAAAAAUGGUUAACAAUAGACAAAAGGCACCUUGGAGAAGUGAAGAUUCGGUUAGGGCACAGAAAAGGGAGUGCCGAAAAGCCGAAAGGAAAUGGCGCAAGUCAAAGCUCCAGGUUCAUUGUGAGAUAUACAAAGAAGUGCUUUGUGAGUUCAACCAGAUUUUGCGUGGAGAAAGGGAGAAAUACUUCUCUAAAAUCAUCGCAAACUGUAGAAACAAUUCUCGUGUUCUGUUUUCCACAGUAAACAGAUUAACUAACCCUCCAGUUUCACUGCCCUUAGAACUAAUCUCUACAUCUAAGUGCAAUGAGUUUGCAAUAUUUUUUUAUGAUAAAGUCCAAGGCAUAAAAAAUGCCAUAAUUUCCACAACACAAAUACCAACCCUGCCACCAACUAGACACCUUGAGCUGACACAUUUCACACCUGUUACUGGCAAAACAAUCGAAGAGGUCAUCUCCGGUUUGAGUUCAUGUACAUGCUGCCUUGAUGAAUUACCCACUAGAUUUCUGAAGUCUGUGCUGACCAGCUUGUUACCACAACUUGUUCAGUUUGUUAACAUCUCAUUUGAGACUGGAGCAUUUCCAAAGGCCUUGAAAACCGCGGUCAUUAAGCCUCUUCUAAAGAAGAGCAGCCUUGAUCCCAAGGUACUGAACAACUACCGGCCCAUAUCAAACCUACCGUUUUUAGGAAAAGUCCUAGAGAAAGUAAUAUAUCAACAGCUCACUUACUUUCUCCUAUCUAACAAUGUGUUUGAUACUUUCCAGUCAGGAUUUAGGCCCCACCACAGCACUGAGACAGCUCUGAUCAAGGUGACAAAUGAUAUCCGUAUGAACACCAAUGCAGGUAAGGUCUCAGUUUUAGUUCUGCUGGACCUGAGCGCUGCCUUUGACACAGUGGACCAUGGGAUCUUACUUCACAGGUUAGAAAACUGGGUGGGAAUCUCUGGUACUGCUCUAAACUGGUUCAAGUCCUAUCUCGAGGAUAGGACGUACUUUGUCGAAAUUGGCAACUGUGUCUCAGACAAAAUUUCC
rnacentral:lncRNA from 1 species